rnacentral:rRNA from 1 species
GACGAACGCUGGCGGCGUGCUUAACACAUGCAAGUCUACGAGAAUAAGGUAGCAAUAUCUUUAGUAAAGUGGCGCACGGGUGAGUAACACGUAAGUAACCUACCCUUAGAUUUGGAAUAACCCCGAGAAAUCGGGGCUAAUACCGAAUGAUGCAGCGGCACCACAUGGUGAUGUUGUUAAAGUCUAUAUGACGUCUAAAGAUGGGCUUGCGUCUGAUUAGCUAGUUGGUGAGGUAACGGCUCACCAAGGCUACGAUCAGUAGCUGGUCUGAGAGGAUGAUCAGCCACACUGGAACUGAGACACGGUCCAGACUCCUACGGGAGGCAGCAGUGAGGAAUAUUGGGCAAUGCCCGAAAGGGUGACCCAGCAACGCCGCGUGGAGGAUGAAUGCCGUAAGGUUGUAAACUCCUGUUAGAGGGGAAGAAAAAUCUCGAUCAAAUCGAGAACUGACUGUACCCUCAGAGAAAGCCCCGGCUAACUACGUGCCAGCCGCCGCAGUAACAC